UUAAGCGACUAAGCGUACACGGUGGAUGCCCUGGCAGUCAGAGGCGAUGAAGGACGUGCUAAUCUGCGAAAAGCGCCGGCGAGGUGAUAUGAACCUUUGACCCGGCGAUGUCCGAAUGGGGAAACCCAGUGUGUUCCGACACACUAUCGUUAACUGAAUACAUAGGUUAACGAGGCGAACCGGGGGAACUGAAACAUCUAAGUACCCCGAGGAAAAGAAAUCAACCGAGAUUCCCCCAGUAGCGGCGAGCGAACGGGGAGCAGCCCAGAGUCUGAAUCAGCUUGUGUGUUAGUGGAAGCGUCUGGAAAGUCGCACGGUACAGGGUGACAGUCCCGUACACGAAAGCACACAGGUUGUGAACUCGAAGAGUAGGGCGGGACACGUGGUAUCCUGUCUGAAUAUGGGGGGACCAUCCUCCAAGGCUAAAUACUCCUGACUGACCGAUAGUGAACCAGUACCGUGAGGGAAAGGCGAAAAGAACCCCGGCGAGGGGAGUGAAAAAGAACCUGAAACCGUGUACGUACAAGCAGUGGGAGCCUCUUUUAUGGGGUGACUGCGUACCUUUUGUAUAAUGGGUCAGCGACUUAUAUUCUGUAGCAAGGUUAACCGUAUAGGGGAGCCGAAGGGAAACCGAGUCUUAACUGGGCGUUAAGUUGCAGGGUAUAGACCCGAAACCCGGUGAUCUAGCCAUGGGCAGGUUGAAGGUUGGGUAACACUAACUGGAGGACCGAACCGACUAAUGUUGAAAAAUUAGCGGAUGACUUGUGGCUGGGGGUGAAAGGCCAAUCAAACCGGGAGAUAGCUGGUUCUCCCCGAAAGCUAUUUAGGUAGCGCCUCGUGAACUCAUCUUCGGGGGUAGAGCACUGUUUCGGCUAGGGGGCCAUCCCGGCUUACCAACCCGAUGCAAACUACGAAUACCGAAGAAUGUUAUCACGGGAGACACACGGCGGGUGCUAACGUCCGUCGUGAAGAGGGAAACAACCCAGACCGCCAGCUAAGGUCCCAAAGUCAUGGUUAAGUGGGAAACGAUGUGGGAAGGCACAGACAGCCAGGAUGUUGGCUUAGAAGCAGCCAUCAUUUAAAGAAAGCGUAAUAGCUCACUGGUCGAGUCGGCCUGCGCGGAAGAUGUAACGGGGCUAAACCAUGCACCGAAGCUGCGGCAGCGACACUAUGUGUUGUUGGGUAGGGGAGCGUUCUGUAAGCCGUUGAAGGUGUCCUGUGAGGGAUGCUGGAGGUAUCAGAAGUGCGAAUGCUGACAUAAGUAACGAUAAAGCGGGUGAAAAGCCCGCUCGCCGGAAGACCAAGGGUUCCUGUCCAACGUUAAUCGGGGCAGGGUGAGUCGACCCCUAAGGCGAGGCCGAAAGGCGUAGUCGAUGGGAAACAGGUUAAUAUUCCUGUACUUGGUGUUACUGCGAAGGGGGGACGGAGAAGGCUAUGUUAGCCGGGCGACGGUUGUCCCGGUUUAAGCAUGUAGGCGGAGGUUCCAGGUAAAUCCGGUUCCUUGUUAACGCUGAGGUGUGAUGACGAGGCACUACGGUGCUGAAGUAACAAAUGCCCUGCUUCCAGGAAAAGCCUCUAAGCAUCAGGUAACAUCAAAUCGUACCCCAAACCGACACAGGUGGUCAGGUAGAGAAUACCAAGGCGCUUGAGAGAACUCGGGUGAAGGAACUAGGCAAAAUGGUGCCGUAACUUCGGGAGAAGGCACGCUGAUAUGUAGGUGAAGUCCCUGCGGAUGGAGCUGAAAUCAGUCGAAGAUACCAGCUGGCUGCAACUGUUUAUUAAAAACACAGCACUGUGCAAACACGAAAGUGGACGUAUACGGUGUGACGCCUGCCCGGUGCCGGAAGGUUAAUUGAUGGGGUUAGCGGUAACGCGAAGCUCUUGAUCGAAGCCCCGGUAAACGGCGGCCGUAACUAUAACGGUCCUAAGGUAGCGAAAUUCCUUGUCGGGUAAGUUCCGACCUGCACGAAUGGCGUAAUGAUGGCCAGGCUGUCUCCACCCGAGACUCAGUGAAAUUGAACUCGCUGUGAAGAUGCAGUGUACCCGCGGCAAGACGGAAAGACCCCGUGAACCUUUACUAUAGCUUGACACUGAACACUGGUCCUUGAUGUGUAGGAUAGGUGGGAGGCUUUGAAGCGUGGACGCCAGUCUGCGUGGAGCCAACCUUGAAAUACCACCCUUUAAUGGCUGGUGUUCUAACGUAGACCCGUGAUCCGGGUUGCGGACAGUGUCUGGUGGGUAGUUUGACUGGGGCGGUCUCCUCCCAAAGAGUAACGGAGGAGCACGAAGGUUAGCUAAUCCUGGUCGGACAUCAGGAGGUUAGUGCAAUGGCAUAAGCUAGCUUGACUGCGAGAGUGACGGCUCGAGCAGGUGCGAAAGCAGGUCAUAGUGAUCCGGUGGUUCUGAAUGGAAGGGCCAUCGCUCAACGGAUAAAAGGUACUCCGGGGAUAACAGGCUGAUACCGCCCAAGAGUUCAUAUCGACGGCGGUGUUUGGCACCUCGAUGUCGGCUCAUCACAUCCUGGGGCUGAAGUAGGUCCCAAGGGUAUGGCUGUUCGCCAUUUAAAGUGGUACGCGAGCUGGGUUUAGAACGUCGUGAGACAGUUCGGUCCCUAUCUGCCGUGGGCGCUGGAGAAUUGAGGGGGGCUGCUCCUAGUACGAGAGGACCGGAGUGGACGCAUCACUGGUGUUCGGGUUGUCAUGCCAAUGGCACUGCCCGGUAGCUAAAUGCGGAAGAGAUAAGUGCUGAAAGCAUCUAAGCACGAAACUUGCCCCGAGAUGAGUUCUCCCUGAGACUUUAAGUCUCCUGAAGGAACGUUGAAGACUACGACGUUGAUAGGUCGGGUGUGUAAGCGCAGCGAUGCGUUGAGCUAACCGAUACUAAUGAACCGUGAGGCUUAACCUU
rnacentral:rRNA from 1 species